CGCAUUCACCCAACGGGGAGGAGAAGAGGAGGAUCGGAGGACUAUAGUGCCAGGAAAACAAGUAUGUUUUCCUGGCACUAUAGUGGUCCUUUAAUUGUACAAGUAAUUGUAACUUGUCGAGUUGGACGCACAGGAACAGAGGGGUUGAGGGCCCUGCUCUAAUGAGCUUACAUGCUAGAGGGAGUAAGUAAGAAAGUAAGAAAGCUAAGUUGCUAGAUAAGUAUUCACUGCGGGUUUAGUGGAUUUUUGGUUUGUUUGUUUACAGUUGCAGGAGAUGAAUCAGGGUGUACAUCUUGUUAUAUAUAUAUAUUUUUUUUUUUUAAACUUACAAGUUGCACAGCUGCAUUUAUUUUGCAACCUACAAAGAAAUAUAAGCAAAGCUAUACAACGACUGUAAAAUCUAGAGAAGAUUAAUUUAGAGAAAAAUAUGCUGGUGUACAUUUUUAAUUUGUUUUGUUGCAUUUUCAUCUUGCACAGUUUAAUUUGAGCUAUUAUAGCAAUGCUAUUCCUAAUACUAGUUUGUUUCUGUGUUCAGACAUUUAUUAAACUAUUGUAAAGCUAAUAAUUAAAU